CUUUCUUUCCCCCAUCAUGCCUCUCCCCGUCUGCUAAAAAAACGACACGAGAGCUCGAGCGGUGACUGCGUCGUCGCCGCCGUUCCUGCGGCCUACGGGCUCCCCGGCGCUUGGAGUUGUCCCGAAGAGCCGCAGCCGUCGUCUUCAUCGGAGCCGGGGGGGCAACACCGUCGUCGUCACGUCGAUCCCCUUCGACGGACACUGCCUCUGCCCCGUCGUCGAUCCCCUCGACUCCAACUACCUCCGGCUCCCCUGAGCUCCUACGAACCCCCCUACUCCGAGACCGCUGCUGAUGUUGCCCCUGUGAUCGACUACGUCGACGACGACACUUCUUCCCUUUCAGCAGAGCUUCCAGGCAAGCCCCCCCCCCUUGCUUAUUCUGAUAUCGCACAUUCCAUUCUCUCAUGCUUGCAUUAGAUUUUGUUGUUGUUAUUGUUUGCUCCUAUUCUGAUGCAUAGCCUGCUUUUGUAACCUGCUCAUUGUACCUUACCUGUUUAUCCUAAACUGCUUAGUAUAGGAUGGUUAGUGAUCCAUCAGUGACCCCCACCUUGUCCUUGUUGCCCCUGAUUCAUCAUCGAAGACCCGAUCAACUGGAUCGAAGAGCAGGCCCCGGCACCGCACAUCACUUUCCCCUUAGUUGCUCGACACUACUGGGUUACUAUCGAGUGCCGAGGGUGAGACCUCAUCAGCAUUUCUGAUGUUAACCCUGUAGUGUAGCUAUUCGGUCGUGGUCAUCGAGGGUGAUUUCCUCCUUAACCACUUCCGAUACGACUCUGUCAUGCAACCCCUCAAGUGUGAACCUCGAGGGUGGAUCCUCUUACGUUCACCUUGAUGAUUACAUCAAGUGGAAUUCAUCGGGGGUGAUUCCUCGGGUUUUCCCCUUGAUGUUUGGACACACGGAUACUUGGACUUUACAACUGUUACUUGGAAAGGCGGGCCGACCCUGAGGGGUACCCGCGAGUGACGUGGAGACGGGUUGACCUGGAGGGUGCCCGCGAGAUAAUUACGAGGCGUGGCCGGGCAUUCCUAGCCCUUGGAGCAAGUUCUCGAGACGGGGCAACGGGGUCACAUCUUUCGUGAGUCUCUGCUUGUUACUACGAUUUGGAUAUUUGAUCCGAGGGGCCUGAUACGUCUCCAAUGUAUCUAUAAUUUUUGAUUGCUCCAGGCUACUUUAUCUAUUGUUUUGGACUAUAUUGGGCUUUAUUUUCCACUUUUUUAUUAUUUUGGGGACUAACCUAUUAACCGGAGGCCCAGUCCAGAAUUGUUGUUUUUUGCCUAUUUCAGUGUUUCGAAGAAACGGAAUAUCAGGCGGAGUCCAAACGGAAUGAAACCUUCGGAAACAUGAUUUUCUCACCGAACGUGAUCCAGGAGACUUGCACUCUACUCCAAGAAGUGCCAGAGGCGGUCACAAGGGUGGAGGGCGCCCCCCUGGGCGCGCCCCCUACCUCGUGGGCCCCCUGUUGCUCCACCGACGUACUCCUUCCUCCUAUAUAUACCUACGUAUCCCCAAACGAUCAAGGAGGAGCCAAAAACCUAAUUCCACUGCCGCAACCUUCUGUAUCCACGAGAUCCCAUCUUGGGGCAUGUUCCGGAGCUCUGCCGGAGGGGGCAUCCACCACGGAGGGCUUCUACAUCAACACCAUAGCCCCUCCGAUGAAGUGUGAGUAGUUUACUUCAGACCUUCGGGUCCAUAGCUAGUAGCUAGAUGGCUUAUUCUCUCUUUUUGGAUCUCAAUACAAUGUUCUCCCCCUCUCGUGGAGAUCUAUUCGAUGUAAUCUUCUUUUUGCGGUGUGUUUAUUGAGACUGAUGAAUUGUG
rnacentral:rRNA from 1 species